UUGAAACACUGGUCCAUGUACAAUCACCGAAGUUAAGCAAUGUCGAGUCUGGUCAAUACCUAGAUGGGUGACCACUUGGGAAUACCAAGAGCUGUAAG